CAGCUUUCUUGUUAAAUGAGGUAACUAUUUUUAUUGUUUAGACAGCUUAGCAAUUUGACAGUCUGUUACUUGUAGCUGAAAGCAUCUUUAUUUUAUUAUCAUUAUUUUUUGAGACAGAGUCUCACUCUGUCACCCAGGUUGGAGUGCAGUGGCAUGAUGGCUCACUACAAGCUCCAUCUCCUGGGUUUCAAACAAUUCUGGUGCCUCAGCCUCCAACGUAGCUGGAAUUACAGGCAUGCGCCACCACACCCGGCUAAUUUUUGUAAUUUUAGUAGAGAUGGGGUUUUGCCAUGUUGGCCAGGCUAGUCUCAAACUCCUGGCCUUAAGUGAUUCAUCUGCCUUGGCCUCCCAAAGUGCUGGAAUUACAGAUGUGAGUCACUGUGCCGGCCUUUUAAAGUUUUUUUCUUUUUAGAGACAGGGUCUUACUCUGUGGCCCAGGCAUGACCAUAGCUCACUUCAGUCUCAAACUCCUGGGCUCAAGUGAUCCUCCUGCCUCAGUCUCCCAAGUAGCUAGGACUACCUAUGCACACCACCCAGGUGACUAAUUUUUAUUUUUCUAUUUUUGUAGAGAUGGGGGUCUUGCUAUGUUGCUCAGGCUGGUCUGAAACUCCUGGCCUGAAGCAAUCCUGCCUUUACCUCCCAAAGUGUGGGGAUUACAGGCGUGGAGCCACCAUGCCCAGUCAUGAAAGCAUUUUUGACUGAUACCCUGCCACACUGGAGCUGGAAAAAACACCUCCUCCCAAAGAAGUUUAAAACUUUAUUGGCCAUGAAAAGAGCUGAGGCCCUAUAGAAGAGUGGAAAAGUAUGAGUUUGUGUUCCAGUCUUACCCUCCACAACUUAAUAGCCACCUGCCUUUGAACAAGAGCUUAACUUCUCUGAGCCUCCGUUUACUCAUCUGACCACUGCCUGGCACAGUGACCUACAUGUAUAAUAGGGAUAAUAAUUUUUUUUUUUUUUUUUUUGAGAAAAAGUCUUGUUCUGUUGCCCGGGCCGGAGUGCGGAAGCAUGAUCUCGGCUCACUGCAACCUCUGACUCCUGGGUUCAAGCAAUUCUCGUGUCUCAGCCUCCCAAGUAGCUGGGAUUACAGGCAUGUUCCACCAUGCUUGUUUGAUUGUUGUAUUUUUAGUAGAGACAGGGUUUACCAUGUUAGCCAGGCUGGUCUCGAACUGCUGACCUCAGGGAAUCCACCCGCCUCGUCAUCCCAAAGUGCUGGGAUUACAGGCAUGAGCCACCACAUCUGGCCUAUAAAUUUGUUUUUAGAAGGAGGGUUUGGGGGAAAUUUUUUAAAAUAAAAGCUUCUAGCAAGCCUCCUACACCAUCCCAAUCAAACUCUGUGCUUUUUUUUAAAAAAAAAAAAAAAAAAAAGGAAGCCAGGUGCAGUGGCUCACACCUGUAAUCCCAGCAUUUUGGGAGGCUGAAGUGGACAGAUCACUUGACCCCCGGAGUUUGAGACCAGCCUGGGCAACAUGGUGAAACCCUGUCUCUACAACAAAAAUACAAAAAUUAGCCGGGUGUGGUGGUGCACACCUGUGGUCCCAGCUACUAGGGAGGCUGAGGUGGGUGGAUCACCUGAGCCUGGGGAGGUCAAGGCUCCAGUGAGCUGUGAUUGUGUCACCGCGCUCCAGCCUGGAUGACAGAGUGAGAUUCUGUUUAAGAAAAAAAAAAAAAAAAGUUCGGGGGGUGGAGAAGAAAAAUAAAGAAAACAAGAGGCCAGGCAUGGUGGCCCAUGCCUGUAAUCCCAGCAUUUUGGAAGGCCGAGGUGGGCAGAUCAUGAGGUCAGGAGAUUGAGACCAUCCUGGCCAACAUGGUGAAACCCUGUCUCUACUAAAAAUACAAAAAAAGAGCCAGGCAUGGUGGCAGGUGCCUGUAGUCCCAGCUACUUGGCAUGCUGAGGCAGGAGAAUCACUUGAACCUGGGAGGCAGAGGUUGUAGUGAGCCCAGAUCGUGCCACUGCACUCCAGCCUGGGUGACAGAGCGAGACACCAUCUCAAAAAAAAAAAAAAAAAAUUUAGAAAAUCAGAAGCCCUGCUGUCUGUCUGUACCCAAGCCCUUCCACCAAGAAAGCUAGUCUAGGUGUGAGAUCUCACACUGUCUUUGUAGCCAUCUAAAAACAAUAAUAAUAACAAACUGGACAGUAUACAAUAAUAAAUAAAUAAAAAAGGGCAGAGGACUUGAAUAUCCAAAGAAGAUAAACAGGCCAGGCACAAUGGCUCUUGCCUGUAAUUCUAGUACUUUGGGAGUCCGAGGCAGGUGGAUCACUUGAGGUCAGGUGUUCAAGACCAGCCUGGCCAACAUGGUGAGACCCCAUCUCUACUAAAAAUACAAAAACUAGCCUGGCGUGGUGACAUGCACCUGUAGCCCCAGCUACUUGGGAGGCUGAGGCAGGAGAAUCAUUUGAAACCCAGGAGGUGGAGGUGGCAGUGAGCCAAGAUCAUGCCAUUGCACUCCAGCCUGAGCGACAGAGCAAGACUCUGUCUCAAAAAACAAAGAAACAAACAAACAAAAAACAACAGAAAAACAAAAACAAAGAAGACAAACAAAUGGCCAAUAAGCACAUGAAAAGAUGCUCAAUAUACUUAGUCAUUAAGGAAAUGCAAAUCAAAACCACAAUGAGAUAUCACUUCCCAUCCACUAGGAUGGCUAUAAUCCAAAAACCAGAAAAUAACCAGUACUGGUGAGAUGUGGAGAAGUUGAAACCCUUGCAUAUUACUGAAUGGAAUGAUAAAUGGGAGUUACUACGGAAAACAGUAACUGCUUUGGGCCUGGUGCAAUGGCUCAAGUCAGUAAUCCUAGCACUUUGGGAGGCCGAGGUAGAAGGAUCACUUGAGGCCAGCCUGGGCAACAUGAUGAAACCCUACCUCUACAAAAAAAAAAAGUGUGUAUAUAUAUAUAAAAGUAUAUAAUAUAUAAAAGUAUAUAUAUAAAAGUGUAUAUAUAUAAACGUAUAUAUAUAAAAGUGUAUAUAUAUAAAAGUAUAUAUAUAAAAGUGUAUAUAUAAAAGUGUAUAUAUAUAAAAGUGUAUAUAUAUAAAAGUAUAUAUAUAUGUGUGUAUAUAUAUAUUAGCUGGGUGUAGUGGCAUGUGCCUUUAGUCCCAGCUACUCAGGAGGCUGAGGUGGGAGAAUUACUUGAGCCCAGGAGGUUGAGUCUGCAGUGAGCCAUGAUCAUGUCACUGCAUUCUAGCCUGGGCAACAGAGAGAGAUCCUGUCUCAAAAAAUAAAUUAAUUAAAUUAAACAAUAAAGGAAUGGGCCGGGUGUGGUGGCUCACACCUGCAAUCCCAGCACUUUGGGAGGCGGACGUGGGUAGAUCACCUGAGGUCAGGCGUUCAAGACCAGCCUGGCCAACAUGGUGAAACCCCGUCUCUACUAAAAAUACAACACAUUAGCCAAGCGUUGUGGCAGGCGCUUGUAAUCCCAGCUACCUGGGAGGCUGAGGCAGGAGAAUCACUUGAACCCAGGAGGCGGAGGUUGCAGUGAGCUGAAAUCCUGCCAUUGCACUCUAGCCUGGACAACAAGAGUGAAACCCCAUCUCAAAAAAAAAAAAAGGAAUGAUGUACUGAUACAGGCUACAAUGUAGAUGAAUUCUGAAAACAUGUUCAGUGAAAGAACUCAGACACAAAAUGUCACUUAUUAAAUGAUUCCCUUUAUAUGUAAUAUCCAGAAUAGGUAAAUCCAUAGAGAGAGAAUGCAGAUUAGUGGUUGUUAGGUACUAAGGAGAGGGGGGAAGGGGGGAGUGGCUGCUCAAUGGAUAUGGGGUCUAUUUUGGGGGUGAUGAAAACGUUUUGAAACCGGAUAGAUAUUACGCUUGCAUAAUAUUGUGAAUGAACAAAAUGCCACUGAAUAGCGCAUUUUUUUUUAAAUUUUGAGACAAGGUCUCUGGCAUGAGGUGGAGAAUGCUACGAUUUUUUUGAUAUCAUUUUAUGUUAGAGCAAAAAUUGCACUCUGCUGUCCAGCUGGGAGUGCAGUGGCGCAAUCUCAGCUCACUGCAACCUCCACUCCCCCGGUUCAAGUGAUCCUCCUGCUUCAGCCUCCUCAGUAGCUGGGACUACAGGUGUGUGCCACCACGCCUGGCUAAGUUUUGUAUUUUUAGUAGAGAUGGGGUCUCACCAUGUUGGCCAGGCUGGUUUCGAACUCCUGGCCUCAAACGAUCCACCCACCUUGGCUUCCCAAAGUGCUGGGAUUACAGACAUGAGCCACUGUGACCCGUCUGAACAGUACAUUUUGAAAUGGCUAAUUUUAUGUUUGUGAAAUUUGUCUCAAUAAAAAUAGAAACAUACAUAAUGAGAGGUCAUUCACGUACAUCCAGUCAUAUUGCUUUUUUAAUCUGAUUUAGUGUUGUCUUCAUGUCAGUCACCCUCUCCCUAGGAACUUGGUACAAGAUCCUGGGCCUGGGGCUAGGGUAGAAGGCAAUUUGACAGCAUCACCCAGGGCUGCCUCCAGUUCCCCCCGCCCCUCCGAUCCCCCAGCAAGUGAGGAAAACUGCCCCUCCAGGAAAGCUCUUCCACCUGGUACCUGCCGAGGAGAAUUACAGUAUUCAUUAAUCAGGGCUCUUUGUGGCAAGGAACAGAAGUACCUACGGGCUGAUUAAGCAGAAAAGGAUGUUAGCUCACAGAAUUUUGUUUUUUUUUGAAACAGGGUCUCACUCUGUCUUCCAGGCUGGAGUGCAAAGGUGCAAGCAGGGCCAAGCAAUUCUCCCACCUCAGCCUCCCGAGAAGCUGGGACUAGAGGCAUGCACCAUCAUACCUGGCUAAUUUUUUUUAUUUUCAGUAGAGAUGGGAUCUUGCUGUGUUGCCCAGGCUGGUCUCAACCUCCCGGGCUCAAGUGAUCCUCCUGCCUUGGCCUCCCAACGUGCUGAGAUUACAAGGGUGAGCCAUUGUGCCCAACUCACAGAAUUUUUGAGGGGCUGGAGGACCUGGUUGUAGGCAAAGCUUCCGGGAUCAAUUCCCCCCAGAUAGCCACAGAAACAGCUGUUAAGCAAGAUCCUACCACUGCUGCGGGAUAAGCAAAAUGCUACCACUGCCGCUGCUCCUGUGAGACAUUUCUGCACCCAGGAUUUCACUCUAAAGCUGAGCAUCCUGCCGCCACUCUCACCACACAGAGCCUCCUUCUUGAGUUCACACUUCCUUUUCCUCGUUUUGGUGGGACUUGCCUGCUUGGUGGGACUGGAUCACAUGCCAGUGCCCGAGCUUCAAGGAAGCCUGGGAAGCCAACAUUUCUGGAUUUCACCAUGGGGAGAUGGGGCCCACAGGGCCGGACAUUUCUCAAAUAUAGGAAGGGGUUGAAAAUGUGGUGGGUGACAUGGUUUGGCUGUGUCCCCACCCAAAUCUCAUCUUGAAUUCUCACGUAUUAUGAGAGGGACCUGGUGGGAGGUCAUUGAAUCAUGGGGUCAAGUCUUUCCCGUGCUGUUCUCGUGAUCUGAUCGUGAAUAAGUCUCAUGAGAUCUGACAGUUUUAUAAAGAGGAGUUCCCCUGCACAAGCUCUCUCUCUCUUUGCCUGCUGCUAUCCAUGUAAAAUGUGACUUGCUCCUCCUUGCCUUCUGCCACGAUUGUGAGGUCUCCCCAGCCCUGUGGAACUGUAAGUCCAUCAAACUUCUUUGUUUAUUUUUGGUAAAUUGCCCAGUCUCGGUAUGUCUUAUUUAUUUAUUUAUUUAUUUGUUUCUUUGUUUGUUUAUUUUUGAGACACAGUCUCACUCUGUCGCCAGGCUGGAGUGCAGUGGCAUGAUCUUGGCUCACUUCAACCUCUACCUCCUAGGUUCAAGCAAUUCUCCUGCCUCAACCUCCCGAGUAGCUGGGAUUACAGGCACGUGCCACCACAGCUGGCUAAUUUUUGCAUUUUCAGUAGAGACCGGGGUUUCACCAUGUUGGCCAGGCUGGUCUUGAACUCCUGAUCUCAAGUGAUCCACCCACCUCAGCCUCCCAAUCGGGUAUGUCUUUAUCAGCAGUGUGAAAACAGACUAAUAGAGAGACAGCAUUUAUUAUUCCUCACUUGUUGGAAGGACCCUAUGCAACCCUAGCUCAUUUGACAAUGUCCCUCUCAUUAUAUACCUUGGGCCUUUUGCAUAUAGAGACAGCCCUGGUUUUUCACUGUCCAGAACCUUUAUAUCUGCCCCUCCCCAAAACAGAGAGGCCUCAUACAUCUGUCAGUAAUAAAGCCCACCCUCUCGUAUUUACUGGAUAGAUAAGUAACUGAGACUGAAACGCCACUGUAUUCCAUUUCCCUGACCACAGUGAUUGAUUCAGAGGGAAGCCUAUGACAAAAACAGCGCCAGUCAGAAUGUUCCCUGGCAUUGAUAUAAUGACUAGGGGGAAAGAGCAACUCUCUUUUGCCCUGGGGUUAUUAAACUGGGAGGAAGAAACUAUUUGCAGUGGGAGAAAAUUAGGUCAGCCUAGAGUGAAGCAGAGAUGAGAGAUGGUGAGAAAGCCAGGAAAAUAUGGUUUCAUCUUUUGGAUCUAGCUAAGCCUGAAGUCAUUACAUCUCUCGUUUUUAAUUACACGAGCCAAUAAGUUCCUUUCGAAAGCUUCAGUGAGUUGGAGUUGGAUUUCUCUCACAACCGAGUAUUCGUGAUCAACCACCCUCUCCCUAAUGGGAAAUUUACUAUGAGGCACUUUUCUAUCCAUUGUCUCAUUUGACAGUAGAUUUGAAAGUUAGGAGGGAGAGGCUAGGCGCGGUGGCUCAUGCCUGUAAUCCCAGCACUUUGGGAGGCUGAGGCAGGCAGAUCAUGAGGUCAGGAGUUAGAGACCAGCCUGGCCAACAUAGUGAAAUCCUGUCUCUACUAAAAGUACAAAAAAUUAGCUGGGCGUGGUGGCGGGCACCUGUAAUCCCAGCUACUCAGGAGGCUGAGGCAGGAAAAUUGCUUGAACCCAGGAUGUGGAGGUUGCAGUGAGCUGAGAUCGCACCAUUACACUCCAGCUUGGGCGAUAGGAGUGAGACUCCGUCUCAAAAAAAAAAAAAAAAAAAAAAAAAAGAAGUUAGGAGGGAGCAUUAACAAUAAAAGAACUAUGACUGGACACAGUGGCUCAUGCCUGUAAUCCCAGCACUUUGGGAGGCCAAGGUGGGUGGAUCACUUGAGGUCAGGAGUUUAAGACCAGCCUGGCCAACAUGGUGAAACCUCGUCUCUACUAAAAAUACAAAAAUUAUCCAGGUGUCGUGGUGCGUUCCUGUAAUUCCAGUACUUGGGAGGCUGAGGCACGAGAAUCACUGCCAGGAGGUGGAGGUUGCAGUAAGCCAAGAUCCAGCCAAUGCACUUCAGCCUGGGCGACAGAGCAAGACUCUGUCUCAAAAAAACAAAACAAAACAAAACAAAAAUGAGCAUUAUUAUCCUUACAGAUAAUAAUUUAAGCUAAGAGAGAUUAAUUGACUAGCCCAAGGGCAUACAGCUAGUUGUGGUCUGGCUUGAAUUUGAACACAGUUCUGCCUACCUUCAAAUUUAGCACUCGUCCUAAAAUUCUAUAGUCAAUUCUUAUUUUCAGAAGUAAUUUUUCUCCUCAUAAUUUUCCUAAUUCUUUGGUCCUCCAAGGCCUUUCAAGCCAGUUCCCAGCUCCUGAUAAUAGUGAAUACCUGAAACAGCUAGCUUAUUAUUCUCCCGUGGGUGUUUUAAUUUUCAAAAUGUGGAAAGACCAAGGCAUGAAGCUUUGGAGGAGAAAUUUCAUCCACUGGCUGUGGACAUGAGGAACUUGAAGUUCCUGGGAUCUCAACCCCAGUACCUACACUUAUGGGAAACCAUCACCCUCUCGGGAAGGCUUCCCUUGUCUAGAAACUUUUUUUGAGGAAAUCCAAGAAUGUCUAAAUAGUAGAGGAUGCAGUAUGAACAUGCCUUUGGAACUCUAUCUGACUCACAGGAUCCCACAAUUUUAGCACAGCCUCUUCCAAGCUGAACCUCUCACCAAACCAGGUUAGGAAUUGCGGGUUAGUUAUUUGGAAGGAAAGGUGGUUGAGAAGGACCAGGGGAAUUAAUAUUCAUUGAACAUAUGACAACGAUGGCAAAUAGAGUUUCUCUGCGUCAUGCAUUGAUAAGCACACAGAGUCAGCAUCCAUGCUCAAUUGGUAAUGUCUGCCCUUGGUGCAGGACAGCAUCCAAGCUCACCUGGUAAUGUCUGCCCUGGGUGCAGGAGGGGGCCUGGCAGGAUGGUUGCCAGCUCUCCAUCUUCUCUGGCUAUGAGCCAGGCACUUUACACCAUUAACCCCAAGUUCUCACAAUAACCUCUGAGGUGGGAGUUUCUUUUCUUAUUUUCUGGAGGAGGAAACUGAGGUUUAGAGAGGAUGUUACUUGCCCCUUGUAAAAGGUACUAGGUGGACAAGUCUUUAAUUUAAAAAUAAAUAAAUAAGCAACAUAUCACCACCACAAAAGCAGCAAUAUUGCUACAAUUUACUGAGGGCUUUCUACAUGCAAGACACUAUUUUUUUGUUGUUUUGUUUUUUUUUUGAGAUGGAGUCUCACUCUGUCACCAGGCUGGAGUGCAGUGGCGCGAUCUUGGCUCACUGCUUCCCAGAUUCAAGGGAUUCUCCUGCCUCAGCCUCCCGAGUAGCUGGGACUACAGGCGUGUGCCACCAUGCCCAACUAAUUUUUGUAUUUUUAGUAGAGACGGGGUUUCACCAUGUUAGCUAGGAUGGUCUCGAUCUCUUGACCUCGUGAUCCGCCCGCCUCGGCCUCCCAAAGUGCUGGGAUUACAGUCAUGAGCCACCGCGCCCAGCCUUUUUAAAAAAAAAUUAUUUUACUUUAAGUUCCGGGAUACAUGUGCAGAACGUGCAGGUUUGUUACAGAGGUAAACACAUGUGUCAUGGUGGUUUGCUGCACCUAUCAACCCAUCACCUAGGCAUUAAGCCCCACACACAUUAGCUAUUUUUCCUGAUGCUCUCCCUCCCCUCGCCCCACCGACAGGCCCUGGUGUGUAUUGUUCCCUGCCCUGUGUCCAUGUGUUUUUAUUGUUCUGCUCCCACUUACGAGUGAGAACAUGCAGUGUUUGGUUUUCUGUUCCUGUGUUAGUUUGCUGAGGAUGAUGGCUUCCAGCUUCAUCCAUGUCCCUGCAAAGGACAUGAUCUCAUUCCUUUUUAUGGCUUCAUAGUAUUCCAUGUUGUAUACGUACCACAUUUUCUUUACCCAGUCUACCACUGAUGGGCAUUUAGGUUGAUUUCAUGUCUUUGCUAUUGUGAAUAGUGCUGCAAUAAACAUAUGUGUGCAUAUAUCUUUAUAACAGAAUGAUUUAUAUCCCUUUAGAUAUAUACCCAGUAAUGAGAUUGCUGGGUCAGGUGGAAUUUCUGUUUCUAGAUCCUUGAGGAAUCACCACACUGUCUUCCACAAUAGUUGAGAAAUAAUGUACAUUCCCACCAACAGUGUAAAAGCAUUUCUAUUUCUCCACAGCCUUGCCAGCAUCUGUUGUUUCUUGACUUUUUAAUAAUCACCAUUCUCACUGGCGUGAGAUGGUGUCUCAUUGUGGUUUUGAUUUGCAUUUCUCUAAUGAUCAGUGAUGUUCAGCUUUUUUUCUUUUCUUUCUUUCUGUUUUUUUUUUUGUUGUUGUUGUUGUUUUAAGGGAGUCUUGCUCUUGUUACCCAGGCUGGAGUGCAAUGGGGAGAUUUUGGCUCACUGCAACCUCUGCCUCCUGGGUUCAAGUGAUUCUCCUGCCUCAGUCUCCCAAAUAGUUGGGAUUACAGGUGCCUGCCACCAUGCCCAAGCUAAUUUUUUGUAGUUUUAGUAGAGACAGCGUUUCACCAUGUUGACCAGGCUGGUCUCAAACUCCUGACCUCAGGUGAUCCACCCGCCUCAGCCUCCCAAACUGCUGGGAUUACAGGCAUGAGCCACCGUGCCUGGCCCCACAUUUUUUCAUGUUUCUUGGUCGCAUAAAUAAGACCCUGUAUUAAGCCUGUUGUAUGUAUUAUCUCCAUUCAUUUCCCAGAAGCUUGGUGAAGUAAUUUACCAUUUUACAGACCACGCGGAAACAGAAGAGCCAAGUGUCGUGUUCAAUGUCACUGGUGCAUCAGAAGCAGAGCUGUGGUGAAAGCCAGAUGCAGCCAGCUCUAGGGCCUGGACUUCUGUUCCUUCCCACUGGUUUGUUUUCAUCCUGAGUCAUUGCUUGGUAGGGGAGGAUUCUGAGAAAGCAUUGAGGUAAACUAUGGCUAUACUGACUUACGCACUUCACAUAAAUCCCUUUGUGAGGAACAUGUCACGGGGCUCCACACAUCGGGCUAUGAAGAGCAGGGUUGGCCUGUCCCUUUGUGGCAGCGGCCCCUCUUAGGCCUCUUCAGCACUCCGUCCCUGGGGGCCAGCCCAUCCAGCCCUGGCCUUUCCUUCUCCUCUGGGUGAGUCAGAACUCUUUUUUUUUUUCUUUUGAGAUGGAGUCUUGCUCUGUCACCCAGGCUGGAAUGCAGUGGCACCAUCUCAGCUCACUGCAACCUCCAUCUCCUGGGUUCAAGCAAUUCUUCUGCCUCAGCCUACCAAAUAGCUGGGAUUACAGGCACGUGCCACCAUGCCCAGAUAAUUUUUUGUAUUUUUGGUAGAGAAGGGGUUUCACCAUGUUGGCCAGGCGGGUCUUGAACUCCUGACCUCAAGUGAUCCACCCACCUCGGCCUCCCAAAGUGCUGGGAUUACAGGUGUGAGCCACUGCACCCAGCCUGAGUCAGAACUUUGUACAUGAGAAGGAAGUCUUGGGAGAAAUCCACAGUUGUUUUGUAUCCAGAACGUGAGGCAGCUUGGUGCUGUGAUGAGAGUGUUCCUUGCCACUGCUCCUGGUUGAGCCACCUUGAGCCAAUGUAGGUUUCUUCAUCUGAAAAGUGAGAGGGAUGGCCUAAGUGACUUCUAAGUGACUGAGCUGCUCUAAAUGUGUGUGAGAUGCCCGUGUCUGUGGACAGUCUCUGUAGUCUUUCUCAGACCUUGCUUCAUUCUCAUCCUCUUUCUCUCAGCUAAUCAGUUGUUCCAGUAUCUUACUAUAAAACUUUUCUUUUUUUUUUGAGAGAGAGAGAGUCUUGGUCUGUUGCUCAGGCUGGAGUGCAAUGGUGCGAUCUUGGCUCACAACAACAUCCGCCUCCCAGGUCCAAGCGAUUUGCCUGUCUCAGCCUCCCGAGUAGCUGGGAUUACAGGCACCCACCACCACGCCUGGCUAAUUUUUGUGUUUUUAGUAGAGAUGGGGUUUUGCCAUGUUGGUCAGGCUGGUCUCGAACUCUUGACCUCAGGUGAUCUGCCCACAUCGGCCUCCCAAAGUGCUGGGAUUACAGGUGUGAGCCACCAUGCCCAUCCUAAAAAUUUUCUUUUCUUUUCUUUUCUUUUUUUUGAGAUGGAGUUUCGCUCUUGUCGCCCAGGCUGGAGUGCAAUGGCACGGUCUCGGCUCACUGUAGCCUCUGCCUCCUGGGUUCAAGUGAUUCUCCUGCCUCAGCCUCCCGAGUAGCUGGGAUUACAGGCAUGUACCACCACACCUAGCUAAUUUUGUAUUUUUAGUAGAGAUGGGGUUUCUCCAUGUUGGUCAGGCUGGCCUCAAACUCCCGACCUCAGGUGAUCCGCCUGCCUUGGCCUCCCAAAGUGCUGGGAUUACAGGCAUGAGCCACCGAGCCUGGCCAAAAAUUUUCAAACAAGCAGCAAAGUUGAAUGCAUGUCCCAGGAAGCAUGCACAUGCCCCCACCCCCGUCCAGCUAGAUUCCAUCUGGCUUUCUCUCAGCUUGUUGCCCUGGUGGUCACUAAGGCAGAAAGGCCCCAAACAUAUUUCGCCUUGAGGACAGUCAGGGUGGAAUUCAGUCAGAACGCACCUUCUCCCUCCCACAACUCACAUCCCUCAUGCAUGCCCCAUGCCCUAAUGCCUUUCUUUCUUUCUUUCUUUCUUUUUGUUUUUUAAACAGAGUCUCGCUCUGUCGCCCAGGCUGGAGUGCAGUGGCGUGAUCUCAGCUCACUGCAACCUCCACCUCCCGGGUUCAAGCCAUUCUCCUGCCUCAGUCUCCCGAAUAGCUGGGAUUACAGGCACGUGCCACCACACCCAGCUAAUUUUUUGUAUUUUCAGUAAAGACAGGGUUUCACCAUGUUGGCCAAGUUGGUUUUGAAUUCCUGACCUCAGGUGAUCCACCCGCCUUGGCCUUCCAAAGUGCUGUGAUUACAGGCGUGAGCCGCUGCACCUGGCCGCCCUAACAUCUUUCUCUCUGUCUGUAGCCAUCUCUCCAGCCAUACGCAUGCCCAUCCCCUGCUGCGAUGACCCUGGGCCAGACCUGCGAUGCCCUGAUCACAAGACAUCAGGGGGAAGGUGGCUUGUUGGAGUUGGGUGGUCCAGGGCACUCAAGUAUCUCAAGAGGCCACUCUGUAGCAGGCACCAUUAUUUGUGUAACAUUUUUUCUCUCAGAGACACGCAAGUCAUACCUGGUUGUUGUAGAAACUUUGAAAAUUGUAGAAAAACCUAAUGAACAAUUGGAAAUCAUCCAUGAGCACUGCCAAGACAGCAGUAGCUAGGAUUUAUUGAGUACUUACUAUACAUUGGAUAUUGUGCUUGUUACAUGAUUUCCCCAGCAACCACACUCAGUAGGUAGGUAUUUAUCAUUAUAAUCUCCAAUUUGGGCCGGGCUCGGUGGCUCACGCCUGUAAUCCCAACACUUUGGGAGGCCGAGGUGGGUGGAUCACCUGAGGUCGGGAGUUCGAGACCAGCCUGACCAACAUGGAGAAACCCCGUCUCUACUAAACACACAAAAUUUGCCGGGCAUGGUGGUGCAUGCCUGUCAUCCCAGCUACUCGGGAGGCUGAGGUAGGAGAAUCGCUUGAACCCGGAAGACAGAGGUUGCGGUGAACAGAGAUCGCACCAUUGCACUCCAGCCUGGGCAACAAGAGCGAAACUCCAUCUCAAAAUAAAUAAAUAAAUAAAUAAAAUAAUCUCCAAUUUGCAGUUGAGGAAAUGAAGGCCUGGAGAAGUUAGGUGAUUUCUCAUGUCCACACAGCUGGGAAGGGGUGGAGCCAGGCUUCACACCCACCUGGUUCUAGCGGAUGCCUUUAGUCACCAUUCACCACUUCCCUGAUGCCUGUCACACAUGUUUUAGAUAUUUUCUGUGCAGUAACUUUUUUUUUUAGCUGGAGUUUCGCUCUUGUUGCCCCCAGGCUGGAGUGCAGUGGUGCAAUCUUGGCUCACUGCAACCUCCGCUCACUUCAACCUCCGCUCACUUCAAGUGAUUUUCCUGCCUCAGCCUCCCAAGUAGCUGAGAUUACAAGCAUGAGCCAGCUCGCUUGGCUAAUUUUUGUAUUUUUAGUAGAGAUGGGUUUUCACCAUGUUGGCGAGGCUGGUCUCGAACUCCUGACCUCAAGUGAUCCUCUUGGCUUGGCCUCCCAAAGUGCUGGGAUUACAGGCGUGAGCCACCACACCAUGCCUGCAAUUAUGUUAUUUUAUAACAACCUACUUCUUUCACUUACCCAUUUCUGGGACCAGGUGGGGUGGUUCAUGCCUACAAUCCCAGCACUUUGGGAGGCCAAGGCGGGUGGAUCGCUGGAGCCCAGGAGUUCAAGACCAGUCUGGGCAACAUGGUGAGACCUUAAUCAAUCAAUCAAUCAAUAGCAGGGCAUGGUGGUGUGUACCUGUAGUCUACCUAUAGUCUACCCAGGAGGCUGAGGUGGGAGGAUGGCUUGAGCCUGGGGAGGUGGAGGCAAUAUUUAACCAUUUCUAUUUGCAUGUUAAUCUCCCCAAAUAACCCUAUGAAAUAGUUAUUAUUAUUUACAUUUACGGGUGAGAAAACUGAAGGCUACAGAAUUAAAAGACAAGAAAACAAAGCUCAAAGAGUGAAAUGACUUGCCCAAGGGCAUGGGAAGCAGUGAGGGUGGGUUCAAAGGUCAGAAAAAGCUGACACCCCACCCCCUCCACCCCUGCCUUUCAUUCUCGAGGUGGAGGCCAUCGCGUGCAUAGGGUAGAGGAAGGCAAUAACAAAUAAUUUUCUUCAGCCUUCCCUAAAUUAGAUCCCAUGUAGCUGGCAACUGAGGCCUGGCCUGCUUGCUUUCUCCUCCUCUCUGGAAGCCAGGGCUACUUUGUAUAGGGUCUGCAUGAAGCUGUCCCCUUCCAGCAGGGACACCUGCCUGUCUUGAGAUGGGGAGUGGUCACUUCCCAGCAGAGACCCUGUGCUCAGCCCGUGGAGGAUAAGAGGGUGCAGGGAAGGAAUUCCAGAUCUCUCCAGGCCUGGGGAAGCGCACGGCUGGACACCCCUGCUUGCCCAUGACCUUGUACGAAUCCUUCCUUUCUCUGAGUUUCAGUUUUCUUUUUUUUUCUUUUCUUUUUUUUUUUUUUUUGAGAUGGAGUCUCGCUCUGUCACCAGGCUGGAGCGCAGUGGCGAUCUUGGCUCACUGCAACCUCCGACUCCCAGGUUCAAGCGAUUCUCAUGCCUCAGCCUCCUGAGUAGCUGGGAUUACAGGCGCGUGCCACCACGUACAGCUAAUUUUUGUAUUUUUAGUAGAAACAGGGUUUCACCGUGUUGGCCAGGAUGGUCUCAAUCUCCUGACUUCAUGAUC
rnacentral:lncRNA from 1 species